rnacentral:rRNA from 1 species
CUGACCUCAAAUCAGGUAGGACUACCCGCUGAACUUAAGCAUAUCAAUAAGCGGAGGAAAAGAAACUAACAAGGAUUCCCCUAGUAACUGCGAGUGAAGCGGGAAAAGCUCAAAUUU